GAUGAACGCUGGCGGCGUGCCUAAUCCAUGCAAGUCGAGCGAACAGACGAUGAUCUUGCUCCUCUUACGUUAUCGGCUGACGUGUGAGUAACACUUGUAUAACCUACCUUUCUGUCUUGUAUAACUUCGUGAACCCGGAUCUAAUCCCGUAUAAUCUAUUUCACCUCAUGGUUCUAUAGUUAACUUCGUUUUUUCUGUCUCUUAUAGAUUGUUCCGCGCCGCAUUAGCUAGUUGGUAAGGUAAAGGCUUACCAAGGCAACGAUGCGUAGCCGACCUGAGAGGGUGAUCGGCCACACUGGAACUGAGACACGGACCAGACAACGACGGGAGGCAGCAGUAGGGAAUAGGCCGCAAUGGGCGAAAGCUGGACGGAGCAAAGCCGCGUGAGUGAUGAAGGUCUUCGGAUCGUAAAACUCUGUUAGUAGGGAAGAACAAAAGUGUAAGUAAAUAUGCACGUAUUGACGGUACCUAAACAGAAAGCAACGGCUAACUACGUG
rnacentral:rRNA from 1 species